rfam:Dipodomys ordii contig_50660, whole genome shotgun sequence.
GGCAAUAUGGCUUAGUGGUAGAGUGCUUGCCCAGCAUGCAUGAAGGCCUGGGUUCGAUUCCUUAGUACCA